rnacentral:snoRNA from 1 species
AAUUUGCCUAUGAUGGUACUAAAUAUACUUUGAGAGAGGUAUUCUCUUUGAAAAUAAUCUAAUCUGAGGCAUU